GAUGAACGCUGGCGGCGUGCUUAACACAUGCAAGUCGAACGAAGCACCUUGAUUUGAUUCUUCGGAUGAAGAUCUUGGUGACUGAGUGGCGGACGGGUGAGUAACGCGUGGGUAACCUGCCUCAUACAGGGGGAUAACAGUUAGAAAUGACUGCUAAUACCGCAUAAGACCACAGCACCGCAUGGUGCAGGGGUAAAAACUCCGGUGGUAUGAGAUGGACCCGCGUCUAAUUAGGUAGUUGGUGGGGUAACGGCCUACCAAGCCGACGAUCGGUAGCCGACCUCAGAGGGUGGCCGGCCACAUUGGAACGUAGACACGGCCCAAACUCCUACGGGGGGCAGCAGUGGGGAAUAUUGCACAAUGGGGGAAAACCUGAUGCACCGACGCCGCGUGAGCGAUGAAGUAUUUCGGUAUGUAAAGCUCUAUCAGCAGGGAAGAAAAUGACGGUACCUGACUAAGAAGCACCGGCUAAAUACGUGCCAGCCGCCGCAGUAA
rnacentral:rRNA from 1 species